GGCAGCGUAGCUCCCCAAAGUUAGUGGCGUGGUCGGUUCACACUCCAGACGUAGUAUAUUUUUUCACCUCGCCUGUAGCCGGACCGGUCCCCUGCCGUAAAACACCCCAAUUUUUAAAGGUUGACCUCGGAUCAGGUAGGAAUACCCGCUGAACUUAAGCAUAUCAAUAAGCGGAGGAAAAGAAACCAACAGGGAUUGCCCUAGUAACGGCGAGUGAAGCGGCAACAGCUCAAAUUUGAAAUCUGGCCCUCGGGUCCGAGUUGUAAUUUGUAGAGGAUGCUUUUGGCGCGGUGCCUUCCGAGUUCCCUGGAACGGGACGCCUUAGAGGGUGAGAGCCCCGUACGGUUGGACACCAAGCCUCUGUAAAGCUCCUUCGACGAGUCGAGUAGUUUGGGAAUGCUGCUCUAAAUGGGAGGUAAAUUUCUUCUAAAGCUAAAUAUUGGCCAGAGACCGAUAGCGCACAAGUAGAGUGAUCGAAAGAUGAAAAGCACUUUGAAAAGAGGGUUAAAUAGCACGUGAAAUUGUUGAAAGGGAAGCGUUUGCGACCAGACCUUUUCCUAGCGGAUCAUCCGGUGUUCUCACCGGUGCACUUCGCUAGGUUUAGGCCAGCAUCGGUUUCUAUAGGGGGAUAAAAGCUCUGGGAACGUAGCUCCUCCGGGAGUGUUAUAGCCCUCUGCAUAAUACCCUUACAGGGACCGAGGACCGCGCU
rnacentral:rRNA from 1 species